AAGGGCACCACAAGAACGCGUGGAGCAUGCGGCUUAAUUUGACUCAACGCGGGGAAUCUUACCGGGUCCGGACACACUGAGGAUUGACAGGCGCAAGGAGCCUUGGCUCUGUAAAUUUGCUAGUCCUUUCAUGAUUGUGUGAUAGGUGGUGCAUGGCCGUUCUUAGUUCGUGGAAUAAUCUGUCUGCUUAAUUGCGUUUUUUCAAAUGUGCCUUGAUGCUCGUUACGCCUUCUGGUGUGCUUGGUGUUGGUUCACUUCAAGUGAGCCGCAUCUUGUGCGCUUGUUAGGUGAGUUUUCAAGGCCUUCUGAAACGAACGAGACCCCAACCCUUCUUUUUCAAUGUCAUACAACGACUUGUUGUUAUUUUUUGUUUGUCAGUCAUGCUUGCGUGCCUGGCAGACAUAUCACGACGUUGUCAACAGAAGGGGACUGUUAGAUUUUAAUCUAAAGGAAGGUUGGGGCAAUAACAGGUCUGUGAUGCCCUUAGAUGUUCCGGGCUGCACACGUGCUACAAUGAUCUAUGCACUAAGCAUCUUCUAGUUCCGUAAUGUGCGAGCUCUUUUGGGCUUGACACAUAUGCGGCAUGCCUACUUCGAGAGCUAGUAGGUAAUCACUUGGUAAUAUAGAUUUCCUUUGCAUUGUGACAUCAGACUCUCUGAGUUUUGGUGUCACGUGUUUUCGAAUUAUGACUUCUUAGUGGGGACAGACCAUUGUUAAUUGUUGGUCUCGCUUUAACUAGGAAUGCCUUGUACAGGUGGUUCAACAGACCGCCUGGAAUACGUCCCUGCCCUUUGUACACACCGCCCGUCA
rnacentral:rRNA from 1 species